rnacentral:tRNA from 1 species
GCCUGGGUGGCUCAGUCGGUUAAGCGUCUGACUUUAGCUCAGGUCAUGAUCUCACGGUUCGUAAGUUCGAGCCCCACAUCAGGCU